rnacentral:rRNA from 1 species
UACGAAGGGGGCUAGCGUUGCUCGGAAUCACUGGGCGUAAAGGGUGCGUAGGCGGGUCUUUAAGUCAGGGGUGAAAUCCUGGAGCUCAACUCCAGAACUGCCUUUGAUACUGGGGAGCUUGAGUCCGGGAGAGGUGAGUGGAACUGCGAGUGUAGAGGUGAAAUUCGUAGAUAUUCGCAAGAACACCAGUGGCGAAGGCGGCUCACUGGCCCGGUACUGACGCUGAGGUGCGAAAGCGUGGGGAGCAAACAGG